CACACACACACACACACAUACACACACAUACACACACACACACACACACACAAAUAAAUGAAUGGUUUUUUAAGUAUGGCUAGUAGGUACAAAGAUAAACAUUGAGUAAAAAAUACAUAUAUAAACGGUACAGAUGUGGUGAAACUACAAGGUGAUUUAAAAUAACCGAACUUGAGAAGGCCCGGCUCUCUCUCACGCUGCCUCCACACCGUGGGCUUCAUCCAUGUGAAGUGCUAUGCCGCCCUGUUCCUUGCCCACCCUUCCUUCUGCUCUGUGUUAAAGCACUAGGUACGGCACAGCAAGGUAACUUAGUGGCUGGCUUUCUCGCUCUCCUGUUUCUUGCUGAGCUGAGGCUAGGCGAGGGCACCAAGGAGGAACUUAGCUGAAAGACUCAUUGUGACACAUUUGGGUAUCAGAAAAGGCCACUGGGAAUCCAUCUGCCCCGUGGCUAGUGAAGUUAGAUUUGAGAUGCCUUUAAAAAGGGGGGGAGCAUGGCAAUGAUGUCUUAUGCAGCCCUGGGAAGCUGACUUCUUGUCACAGGGCUGUGUGGCCUGGAGGCAUUGCAGCACCAGGCUCAUGCUCAGGCAGAGAAGUCCCAUGACUGCACAGAGCUGCACUGUCACUCUGUGUCAGCAACCCUGAUUAAGGGAGUGGACUCUGAGCCAUCUUCCUGUUUUAUUGGAAGAGCAUGCUUGGUCUUGCAGGACUUAGCUUGGCCAUUAUAAUUUAUUAACAUAAUUAUUUUCUAUAAGGCUGUGAUAUGACUCACAAAACUACAGUAUGGCUGGACAUAGCAGCGCACACCUUUAAUCUCAACUCUUGGGAGAUAGAGACAGGUGGAUCUCUGUGAGUUCAAGGCCAGCCUGGUCCACAGAGUGAGUGCCAGGACAAUCAGAGCUACAGAUUUAGAGCAGAGUCUGGGAAGACAGGAAGGAACGGAAAGACAGGAAACAUUUCCAGAAGCUGAAGCUGAAAACUGUACCCCAAAAUGAGUUCUGUGUGGGCUUUAGUUGGUUGCUGGUGGUAGCAUAUUUCUGUUUGUCUUCAUUGUUAGUGAAGUGUGUAAGCGGGGGUGGCAUGGGAACGGUGAGUGCUGAGAAACUAGCAGGGCAUUGUGAGUUACCCAGUGUGAAUGCUGCAUCCGAGCUCUGUUUCCCUGGGAGAAAGCAGUUUGUGUCCUUACCCCACCCCAAACCUCCUUGCCAAGCCCCUUGUUGGUUUUAUUUUAUUAGAAACAAAGUCUUAAGACAAGGUGUAGCCCAGGCUGGCCUUGAACACACAAUCCUCCCGCCUCCCAAGUGCUGUGAUUACAGGCCUAUGCCGCCUGUCCAGAUGAGAGGUUUCUCUUGGACAUGAAACACCUUGAAGGAAGUCCUCAGUGAUUGCCCUGUGGUGAAGCAGUGGCUUCUGGGGCCUGUGUCACACAGUGCCCUCUAGCAGAGAUGGAGUUGUCGGGCCACAGGGCACAUCACAAUAUUCUGUAGGAGACAAAGAUUCUGCCCAUCAGGGACACAUCUCAGCUGUCCAACUUAACUCCAGGUGGAUUCUGGUGGCUCUCACUGUUGGCCACACCACCACACAUGGAAUCAGUCAGCAGCUCUCCUGUUCUUAGCAGCGAGAAGUCAGGGAAACGCGUGCUGCCUGCCCACAGUCCUUUGCGGAGCUGCAGUCAUGAGCAGGACUGGCUGCUUCACUUGUUAAGUUCAAUGUAAAAUGAAGCUCCCUUGUUCCAUAUCCAAGGACUGAGAUGGGUACAUCCAAACAUUGAGCCAACCACUGAGCCUUUCUAAGAGUGAGACCCCGCAAGUCACUCAUUUCAAAGGAUGCUCUCACCCUUGUUUGAAUCCAUACUGUCAUGAAAACAAAACAAACAACAAAUAAAAACUAACAGACUGAAAAAACGCACCUCUACCUGCUCAUGCUGACCCCAAAGUUGGAAACAGAAAAUGCCCGAACUCUAUAGAGGAUGCGAGUGUUGACCACAAACUUGAUGCUCUUUUUUUUCACAAGUUACUUUUUCAUUUCAGCCCUCACUUUAUAAGAACAAUGGGUAAUUAAGUGAACAAACAAGCCAGAUCUCUGGAUGCCCUCUGAGUGUGGUCCUUCCUGAGGCCUGGAAGUAGAGAGUUUGAUUAUUAGAGUUUUUCAGGGUGAAUUCCCACAGAAAUUUCCUUCAGGAAAAGGGGCUCAUGUCCCCACAACCUAACAGAGUAUGUUCAUGAGAGCAGCAGGAGGGUGCUCUCCUCUGAGUGACAGGAGGUGUAGUGCUGAGAACUAGAUGGAUUUUCUUAAAGCUUUAUUGGUAUAGAACUUAUGUAAAGUACAAUCACUGACUUACUCGAUUUUUUUUAAAAUUACAUUGACAGUUAUGCAACCACUACUACAAUCAGUUAUUGAAUGCAGUUGUUAACCUCAAGAGAAAUCCUGCAUCCAUUAGCAAUUACUCCAACCUUCCCAGCCAUGGGCCUACUUCUGUCUUUGUGGCUCUGUGUAUUCUGGACACUUCCCGUGCACCGAAUCAUGGAAUAUGUAUUUUCAAAGUCCAUCCAUGCUAUAGCACACACCAUUUUGAAUAUGAUAAUUGUAAAUUGGAUAGGACCCCGCAAGGGAUUGAGUGAUUUAUUAAAGCCAGGGGAGAGUUGGAAUGACAGUGUCAUUUUGGACAUUUUGUGUUUGAGAUGCUUGUUAUACAUCUAAUGGAGUCAUUCAUCCAUGUGUGAAGAGUAGUUAGUCAUUUCCUUAUGUCUUACAUAGAAGUUACCUUUAAAUGAACCUCAGACCUGCACAGACUCAAAUAGAAAGCUAAAAAUUGCUGUUGAAAUUCCUAGGUGAAAAUCUUUCUGACUUGAUAGUGGUAAAGAUUUCCAGGGUAGAACAACAAUAGCAAAAAACAUGGUAGUAAAGUGAUAAUUUUUACUUUAUCAACAUUUAAAACAUUUAUUCUUGAAAUACAUUUAAAAAUAAUCAAGUCAGAAAAUGAAAGAAAAUAAUCGCAACACAUAAAAUACUCUUGCAAGUCAAUAAUAGGACAAAUAACCUAAUUUUUGAAGGAUUAAAUUUAAGUGUGUAUAUGUGUGUGUACAUACACGCAAGUGCUCACGUGUGCCUGUGUCGUGGCUUCCGCGUGGAGGGUGGAGAUAGCUUUGCAGAGCUGAUUAUUUCCUUACACCUUUACGUGGGUUCCAUGGAUCAAUCACGGGUCUCCAGGCUUUCAAGGCAAGCACUUUUGCCUUCUAAUCGUCUCAGGAGCCCCCAAAUAACCCAGUUUUUACUGUAGAGCAAGGCUGGGUUAUAACACAGUUUUAGAGGACCUGCUCAGUAUGCAGCAAGUUGUGAGUUCAGACCUCAGCACCAAAUACAAACAGAGAUGGCAGAAUAUAGCUGUGAUCCAAAUGUUCAAGGAAGCAAGAGAAGUUCAAGGUCACCCUCUGCUACACAGAAUGCAAGAUCAGCCUGGGAUAUGUGAGACUGUGUCUCAAGAAAAAAAAAUCAUUGGUGUUAAUAAGUCAUAGCUAUAAAGGAGGCUAACAUCUUAGUUGAGAACUUCCAGGAUACCUCAUUAUUAACACUUCACAAUCAACUGUGUAAGGCCAAAUGUUCUAAACAGGCACAAAAGGAUAUAUAAAGAACAGGAAAAUAUCCCAGUAUCACUGCCUAUCAGGAAAUGAAACAAAACCACAGUGCUGUGUCAUUCCUAUACCCAGGAGAAUGCUGAAAUUUUUAAACUCGAUGAUACUGAAUACCCACAGAGACAUGAAAUAACUGAAGGUCUCUGUUGCUUUCUGAAAUGCAAAUGCUUUGUAAAACAAUUUGCUGCUUUCUUAAAAAGUGACAUAUGUGCUUAAUACAAGACCCAACCAUUCCCCUCCUGUGUAUUCUGUGUAUUAAGAAAACCAAAAGGCCUUGUGUGUCCCAUCAGAGGCUAUCUGCAAAUGUCUACUACAGUUGGAGAUCAGGGAGUGAAUGAAAAUUCUAUUGGUACCCUCAACGUGGGAGAAAAACUAGUAAUACACACAACAGGAAGGAGUAUCUCAGGCCAUCAUACUGGAGCAAAGAAGCCAGACACAAGCAUGUUCACAGCAUGAGUUCUUUGCGCAAAUGCAGCCGCGUUCACAUGCCAUGAGAUCAUUUGUAUAGAUGCAAACUAAUGUAAAGACACAAAUCAUCAGUGGCCCUCACACUGGGAAGGGUGCCUCAACAGCCCGGGUAAGCAGGCAUGGGCCCCCUUGUCUCUGGUUGAGCACACAGGCUGUUCGGUCUGUGCUGGUGGCUGAAUCUUUGGCUUUUGACCAGUGAGAGCUAGAGGGAGUGAAGCAUGUUUCAGCUGGGAGAGAGGUAGAGUUUGGCAUCCCCAGCAAGACUGGCAGGAGCAGGUGUGAUGGUAUCGGCUGUUAUUAAUAGUUUGAAUAUCAAGGCUGUGCCCCAGCUUGAAGACUUCAUCCAUGGAAUCAUAACUUGAUGAUAUCAUUGAGGACUGAUGGAGACUUGGAUGGAGGGGCCAGGUAGGAGUAAAUUGAUCUUUACAGGAUAUAUCCUGCCCUGGCCCCUCUGGGGGUCUGUCUCUCUCUGCUCUCUGUGAGGUGGUCAAUAUUUGUCUGCUAUGUCCUUCCACCACAAUAUUUUUGCCGUGCCACACUCCUUAAAGCCAGGAGCCAGAUGACCAGUGGCUAAAAUAUGGAAAACUAUGAGCUAAAGUUUUCCCAUGGAUUUUCUCACAGUGACAGAAAUCUAGCCAGUGACUAGCUCUCCUGGGUUUGAUGGUGACCCAAGAAACGAGUGCUCACCAGCAGUCUGCAGCUUUGGCUUUUGGGGUGAUGUGGUCUGUACUGAAGUGAGUCCAGAGGAGGUGAUUUUUGAGCUGGGCAUAGUGGCCUAUAUCUAUCAUCUCAGGAUGCUUGGGCAGGAUUGCCUCAAGCUACAGGCACAUGGAAACUUUCAGGCUAGUUUGGGCUACAAAGUGGGACCUUGUCUCUUAAAAAAAAGUCACAUUGGACUAGUGUGGCCUCUGAAUCUAACUUGGUUGUGAUAGAAAUUAUAUUGUUAAGUGCCGUGUGCUAAUUGUGCUUAUUCGGAAUCAAUUCUGGAACCAAGCAAAGUCCUCUUGUACCUGACACCAGAAUAUUUAUUUCACAUGCCCUCCCAAGAUUCCUUUGUCCUGGGGUAGGCUGGCCCUUUGGCUCUGUAGGAGAGAAGGAAAAAUAGCAAACAGCUAAGGGUAUCAAAAAUCACUAUGCUCUUAGAACCACUUCCAACAUAGGUAACAUUUUAUCCCAUGACAUAAAAACCUGUGGUGGGAAUGAGAAGGCAGAAGUUCUUUCAUAGAAGAUGCUGCAAGAAUUCUUUCCAUCAAGAACUCCAGCAUGGCCAGCCAGAGCACGCCUUUAAUCCCAGCACUCUGGGGGCAGAGGCCAGCCCGGUCUACAGAGUGAGUUCCGGGACAACCAGAGUGGUUACACAAAGACACCCUGUCUCGGGUGGGGGGUGGAGGAUGGAGAACUCCAGCAUGACUGUUUCAGUGGGACCUCCCUGGUCCUUUCUGCUGGAGAUGUAAAUGCAUGAAUGACCGCUGAGGUCACCUGCCUGCUGCUUGCUACUUGUUAUUUUACUUUUGCUUAUUCUCUCAAUCAAGCUACUGCAGUUGUUCCUAUGGUUGUGGUUGUUAAAUUUCAAACCCAGAUCAAGCAGCUGAGGUGGCUAUUUAACAUGUCAAAGUGGACCUGGCCACCAGAUUCUCCUCAGUCCCUCAGUCCCUCCCUGUUACAGGAUAUGGCUGGCAUACCCUGCGCUUUACAUGAACUCUCCAGCCCAGGGGCUGAGCUGUCCUUCCCCCAGAGGCUCUUCCCUAAAUAAUCCAGAUGUUUUGGUUAUCCACCCCUUUUAUAUCUUUGGCCUCCUGGCUGUCGCACCUGGUUCCUCAGCUCUGUCCUGCCUUCCCUUCCCUCUGGUCAUGUCCACUCUGGACUCGCCCAGAUGUGUCUGACUCUGGCUACGCUCGCUCUCCCUUUUAUCUACAAUAAAGCUUCUCCUCCACCAAACCUAGGAGCAGCCAUGUCCUGUCCUUUCUUUCCCUUCUUAUUCCUUUUUUUCAUUCAGUUGUAAGUGCCUGCCUGAUUCCCGAUGGACUGACCUCUCUGUUUCUUGCUAUUUCUUCUUGUACUUUUGCUGACUAUAUGCGUAACAACUCAUUUGAAACCAAAAGUACAGUUGUCGUAGAUCGUUCUCUGUACAGAACAGGGGUCAUUCAUUAAAAGACUGCGGAAAUGUGGCCACAAACACACAGGAAGGGUGGCCCUGUGAAGACGAAGGCUGAGACUAGAGGGCUCCAAGUCAAGAAACACUGAGGAUUGCCAGGAGCCACUAGGAGCUGGAAGAAACAAAGAAGAGUUAUUCCAUAACCCUUGGGAACACAGCUCUGUCAGAGCCAUGAUCUCAGACUUCUGGCCUCCAAGACAGGCCAGCCUCGGGAGAGGACCUGGAAGACACACUCAGAUACCGACCAACAAGACAAGCAGUGUGACUGCUACCAUCAGGAAUCUUGGAAUCUCGCUUCAGGAGGAUAGUUUUGAUUUGAUGAGUUUUACACACUCCUCAGAAUUUGUAUCUCUGGGGCUAUGGAUAAGUACAUUUCUACCUGUGACUUUGGUGGACUAUGUCUCCACAACACCUACCCCUCCCCCUGCCGCUUGUCAAUACUCAACCCCUACAGUCCCCCUGUCACAAACCUGGAUGCAAUGGGGCCAUCAUGAUCAGUGAUGCACACUGAGAAAGGAAAUAAAAUAUUAGUUUUCAAAAAGGCAACUUGUCAAAUAUAUAACCCUGGUUUUAUACGUGUUCCCUGAUCAGAAAAUGGUGACCAAACUGUAUCCAAAUUGUUGGAAUUUAAGUUUUUGUUCUUGCCAUUACCUCUUAGUUUAUACAGACAUCUCCCAGAAAUUCAGAUAUUGGACUCGGCCUGCUCUGCUUCAAUCAGACGAUGAACUGUUUGCCAGUGACAUAAGUAACAUUUAUUAUAGGAAGUGUGAAUGAAACAGGCACAGAAUGGAGUUAGCACAUCACCAUCCCAGGCCUGUGCUCUCUCCAGCUGCUUCCAGCAGGCCAUUCACAGGGCUUCUCUUCAAACAAAUAAAACAACAUGCUAAGACA